rnacentral:rRNA from 1 species
UACGGAGGGUGCAAACGUUGCUCGGAAUUAUUGGGCGUAAAGCGCACGUAGGCGGACCAUCAAGUCGGAUGUGAAAUCCCUCGGCUUAACCGAGGACGUGCAUUCGAAACUGAUGGCCUUGAGUACGAAAGAGGAUCGCGGAAUUCCCGGUGUAGAGGUGAAAUUCGUAGAUAUCGGGAGGAACACCAGUGGCGAAGGCGGCGAUCUGGGUCGAUACUGACGCUGAGGUGCGAAAGCGUGGGGAGAGAAAAGG